AGAAAGUUUGUUUGGGUUUUUCCGUAAGAUGUAACAGGAAAACCUGAAGAGACUUUUUGG
ensembl:miRNA